UCAGCUUUGGCACAGUAGGUAGUGCAUGAGUCUCCUAAGCUGAAGCUGAAGGUCCUGAGUUUGAUUCUCUGAAGGAGGG
rnacentral:tRNA from 1 species